rnacentral:rRNA from 1 species
GGAAGUGAACCAUCUCAGUACCUGAAGGAAAAGAAAGAAACCUCGAUUCCGAGAGUAGUGGCGAGCGAAAUCGGAACAGCCCAAACCCGUGGUAUUUCGGUACUGCGGGGGUUGUAGGGUCUGCAACAGUAGAGUUACCAAUCCGGUAGUUAGUCGAAUCCUCUGGAAAGUGGAUCCAUAGAGCGUGACAGGCGCGUAGACGAAAAUUAUCCGGACUCGAAGCAGAUACCUGAGUAAGGCGGGGCACGUGAAACCCUGCUUGAAUCCGCGGAGACCAUUCCGCAAGGCUAAAUACUCGAUUCUGACCGAUAGUGAACCAGUACCGUGAGGGAAAGGUGAAAAGCACCCCUGCUAGGGGAGUAAAAAGUACCUGAAGCCGUGUGCCUACAAGCAGUGGGAGGACUAUGCCCGCAAGGGAAUGUCUGACCGCGUGCCUAUUGCAUAAUGAGCCGGCUAGUUAUUCUUGUCAGCAAGGUUAAGCGUAAGCGAGCCGAAGCGAAAGCGAGUCUGAAUAGGGCGUUUAGUUGGCAGGAAUAGACGCGAAGCGGGAUGAUCUACCCUUGGCCAGGUUGAAGAUGAGGUAACACUCAUUGGAGGACCGAACCGGUGUUUGUUGAAAAAAGCUCGGAUGAGCUGAGGGUAGGGGUGAAAGGCUAAUCAAAUUCCGUGAUAGCUCGUUCUCUCCGAAAUAGCUUUAGGGCUAGCCUCGGAUGAUUUGCAGUGGUGGUAGAGAUCUGGAUGGACUAGGGGGCUUUCCGGCUUACUGAAUCCAACCAAACUUCGAAUGCCAUUGACAACCAGUCCGGGAGUCAGACUGUGGGGGCUAAGCUUCACAGUCGAGAGGGAAACAGCCCAGACCGCCUGCUAAGGUCCCCAAGUUACAGUUAAGUGGGAAAGGAAGUCGGAACGCUCAGACAGCCAGGAGGUUGGCUUAGAAGCAGCCAUCCUUUAAAGAAAGCGUAAUAGCUCACUGGUCAAGCGGUCCGGUGCCGACAAUACAACGGGGCUAAAACUGUACACCGAAGCAGCGGAUGCACACCUAUGGUGUGCGUGGUAGGAGAGCAUUCUCAACAGCGUUGAAGUCUGACCGAGAGGACAGAUGGAGCGUUGCGAAGAGACCCUGCCGGCAUAAGUAGCGAUAAUGAAUGUGAGAACCAUUCACGCCGAAAGUCUAAGGUUUCCUGAGGAAGGUUAAUCCGCUCAGGGUCAGGCGGUCCCUAAGGUGAGGCCGAAAGGCGUAGCUGAUGGACAUCCGGUUAAUAUUCCGGACCUCCCAACUCUCGUUUGACGAUGGGGAGACGCAGAAGGAUAAGCAGGACCUCAUAUGGCUAUGGGGUUUGAUGCGCGUAAGCUGGUUCCAGCAGGCAAAUCCACUGGAGCUUAACAGUGAGGCGCAAAACAGUAAGGCGUAUGCCCGAAAGCUGCUGAGUUCACGCUGCCGAGAAAAUCCUCUAAGGAGAGUAGUUGGGAACCGUACCCCAAACCGACACAGGUAGACGAGGAGAAUAUCCAAAGGCGCUCGAGUGAAAGCUUGUUAAGGAACUCGGCAAAUUAGACCCGUAACUUCGGGAGAAGGGUCGCCCACCUCUGGUGGGCCGCAGUGAAACGCGUACGGCGACUGUUUAACAAAAACACAGGUCUCUGCAAAGUCGAAAACGACGUAUAGGGGCUGACUCCUGCCCGGUGCUGGAAGGUUAAAAGGAGAGGUUAGCCGCAAGGCGAAGCUUUGAAUCGAAGCCCCAGUGAACGGCGGCCGUAACUAUAACGGUCCUAAGGUAGCGAAAUUCCUUGUC